rnacentral:rRNA from 1 species
ACUCCUACGGGAGGCAGCAGUAGGGAAUAUUGGACAAUGGGCGAAAGCCUGAUCCAGCAACUCCGCGUGAAUGAUGAAGGCCUUCGGGUUGUAAAGUUCUUUUAGAGGGGAAGAUAAUGACGGUACCCUCAGAAUAAGCACCGGCUAACUUCGUGCCAGCAGCCGCGGUAAUAC